GACGGAGGAUGCAAGUGUUAUCCGGAAUCACUGGGCGUAAAGCGUCUGUAGGUGGUCAAAUAAGUCAACUGUUAAAUCUUGAGGCUCAACCUCAAAAUCGCAGUCGAAACUAUUAGACUAGAGUAUAGUAGGGGUAAAGGGAAUUUCCAGUGGAGCGGUGAAAUGCGUAGAGAUCAGGAAGAACAUCGGUGGCGAAGGCGCUCUGCUGGACCAUAACUGACACUCAGGGACGAAAGCUAGGGGAGCGAAUGGG
rnacentral:rRNA from 1 species